rnacentral:rRNA from 1 species
CCUUCGGGUGGCUGCAGUGAGGAAUAUUGGUCAAUGGACGAAAGUCUGACCCAGCCAAGUAGCGUGAAGGAUGACUGCCCUAUGGGUUGUAAACUUCUUUUAUAUGGGAAUAAAAUGUUCCACGUGUGGGAUUUUGUAUGUACCAUAUGAAUAAGGAUAGGCUAACUCCGUGCCAGCAGCCGCGGUACUACGGAGGAUCCGAGGGUUGUCCGGAUUUAUUGGGUUUAAAGGGCACGUAGGUGGUGUGUUAAGUCAGUUGUGAAAGUUUGCGGCUCAACCGUAAAAUUGCAGUUGAAACUGGCAGUCUUGAGUACAGUAGAGGUGGGCGGAAUUCGUGGUGUAGCGGUGAAAUGCUUAGAUAUCACGAAGAACUCCGAUUGCGAAGGCAGUUCACUGGACUGCAACUGACACUGAGGCGCGAAAGUGUGGGUAUCAAACAGGAUUAGAUACCCCAGUAGUC